rnacentral:rRNA from 1 species
UACGGGGGGGGCAAGCGUUGUUCGGAAUUACUGGGCGUAAAGGGCUCGUAGGCGGCCAACUAAGUCAGACGUGAAAUCCCCAGGCUCAACCUGGGAACUGCGUCUGAUACUGGUUGGCUUGAAUCCGGGAGAGGGAUGCAGAAUUCCAGGUGUAGCGGUGAAAUGCGUAGAUAUCUGGAGGAACACCGGUGGCGAAGGCGGCAUCCUGGACCAACACUGACACUGAGGAGCGAAAGCGUGGGGAGCGAACAGG